GACUAUCAGUUAGUUGGUAGUGUAAUGGACUACCAAGACAGUGACGGUUGACGGGAAAUUAGGGUUUUGUACCGGAGAGGGAGCCUGAGAGAUUGCUCCCACGUCCAAGGACGGCAGCAGGCGCGAAAAUUGCCCACUCUUUGCAGGAGGCAGUUAUGAGACGUGAAGAUGAGUAUCUUGUAAAGAGGGAUAGGAGAAUUGGAGGGCAAGUUUGGUGCCAGCAGCCGCGGUAAUACCGACUCCAAGAGUGUGUAUGAGAGAUGCUGCAGUUAAAAAGUCCGUAGUCAUAGAAGGGCAAAGAGAGAUGCGAGGUCUCACAGUGCGAUGAUGGAGGAGCCGAUGGGGAACAUAGUAUACCAGGGCGAGAGAUGAAAUGCCAAGACCCCUGGUGGACUGAGCGAGGCGAAAGGCGAUUGUUCUUGUAGGCAUUCGGUGAUCAAGGACGAAGGCUGGAGGUAUCGGAAAGUGAUUAGAUACCGCAGUAGUUCCAGCAGUAAAAGAUGCC
rnacentral:rRNA from 1 species